rnacentral:rRNA from 1 species
UACGGAGGGGGCGAGCGUUAUUCGGAAUUAUUGGGCGUAAAGGGCGCGUAGGCGGCUUGAUGUGUCAAAGGUGAAAUCCCUCGGCUCAACUGAGGAACUGCCUUUGAAACUGUCUGGCUUGAGGCCGGGAGAGGGUAGCGGAAUUCCCAGUGUAGCGGUGAAAUGCGUAGAUACUGGGAGGAACACCGGUGGCGAAGGCGGCUACCUGGACCGGUUCUGACGCUGAGGCACGAAGGCCAGGGGAGCAAACGGG